UAGGGAAAAGGGUGGAAAGCCCUUACUGUAGUCGCAGCUGUAACCGGCGAUGAGGAAUGGAAUAUACCACUGUCUAAUGUACCAAAGUUAAAUGCUGGAUGGGAAGGUCUGUUCUAAAGAUGACCCGGAAGUCAGAAAACCU
rfam:Clostridium caminithermale DSM 15212 genome assembly, contig: EJ27DRAFT_scaffold00043.43